AACGAACGCUGGCGGCGUGCUUAACACAUGCAAGUCGAACGCGAAAUUUUUCUUCGGAAAGAAAGUAGAGUGGCGCACGGGUGAGUAACGCGUAAGUAAUCUACCCUGGCAUCUGGAAUAACUCACCGAAAGGUGUGCUAAUACCGGAUACGUUGAGAGAUCAAGAAAGGUGGCCUCUGCAUAUGCUACUGUGCUGGGAUGAGCUUGCGUACCAUUAGCUAGUUGGUAGGGUAAUGGCCUACCAAGGCGACGAUGGUUAGCGGGUCUGAGAGGAUGAUCCGCCACACUGGAACUGGAACACGGACCAGACUCCUACGGGAGGCAGCAGUGAGGAAUAUUGCGCCAUGGGGGCAACCCUGACGCAGCGACGCCGCGUGGAUGAUGAAGGCCUUCGGGUCGUAAAAUCCUGUCAAGUGGAAAGAAGUGCAUGGUGGCUAAUAUCCAUCAUGUUUGACGGUACCACUGAAGGAAGCACCGGCUAACUCCGUGCCAGCAGCCGCAGUAAGAC
rnacentral:rRNA from 1 species